rnacentral:lncRNA from 1 species
GCUAGCAUCGACUUGACCUGACUCAUAAUUAAUUUUGUAAAUUUAAUAAGUCGCGUUGCUGGGUGAGAUGCUAUGCAAAUUUAAUAAUAGAACACAACAAUUUAUGAUGUACAAAUAAAAUUCAUUCUAAAAUUAUAUACUUACUUAUUUUAGUAGCAUGUCUUAUUUUCUUUUUAAUUUUUUUUACACAUAUAAUGUGGAUAUAUACUUGUACAUUAGUUGAGGUGGAUGUUUUUGAUUGGUUUACAAAUAGUAUUGAUUAAUUUUUCUAUAUUAAAUACUAUUUGUGGACCAAUCACAAACCAUCAACUUAAAUCAUAUACCGAUACAUAUUUAUAUAAUAUGUAUACCGGAAUAUUAACCUUAUUUUUUAUCUUUAUUGUUACACUUACACGCACACACAAUUACCCUUAAUACACAACGCUCUUAAAGGAAGAAAGCACAUUCUUUUUGGACAAUCAGCUUUUUUAAUACAUGGGAUAGGAGCUGCAAUGUCAAAUAUAAGAACAAUUAAGUGUUACCAAAGGUAACAAAAUGUUAAGUAUAUAGUAAAAUUUGAAAAUUAUAUGAAAAAUGACUUACUGCAGUUGGUCACAUCAAGAAGUAGAGAAAAAAAUAUGACCAAAAUAUAAAUAUACAUGGAAAUGUGAGCCAUGUUGUUAAUUUUUGUUAGCAAUAAAAUUCAAAAUUGUUAGUUCAUUUUAU